rnacentral:rRNA from 1 species
CGAUAAGCGUCGGGGAGGUGCGAAUACCCUUUGAUCCGACGAUUUCCGAAUGGGGCAACCCACCUUAGAUGACUAGAAAAUCUGUUUUGUUGGAGCAACGCUGGAUGGGUUUACACCCAUACAGACCGCUAGGUCGUCGGCCCAUGUGGGUCGCCCCCGCGGAGCGCCAGCAUUCCUCUGGAAUGCGUACGGCGCGUGAGCGAGAACAGCACAGCUUUCUAGUCAUCAUAAAUAAGGUAUCUAACCUUGAAUACAUAGGGGUUAGAAGCGAACCUGGGGAACUGAAACAUCUAAGUACCCAGAGGAAAGGACAUCAAACGAGACUCCGCUAGUAGUGGCGAGCGAACGCGGACCAGGCCAGUGGCUUUUGUGAAUAAAGUGGAACGAGUUGGAAAACUCGACCGAAGUGGGUGAUAGUCCCGUACACGUAGAAUAGCAGAAGUCCUUGAGUAGGGCGGGACACGUGAAAUCCUGUCUGAACAUGGGUCGACCACGAUCCAAGCCUAAGUACUCGUGCAUGACCGAUAGCGAACCAGUACCGUGAGGGAAAGGUGAAAAGCACCCCGACGAGGGGAGUGAAACAGUACCUGAAACCGGAUGCCUACAAACAGUUGGAGCCCAAGGUUUGUCCUGGGUGACAGCGUACCUUUUGUAUAAUGGGUCAGCGACUUAGUGUAUCGAGCAAGCUUAAGCCGGUAGGUGUAGGCGCAGCGAAAGCGAGUCUGAACAGGGCGUUCAGUUCGAUGCAUUAGACCCGAAACCAAGUGAUCUAGCCAUGAGCAGGUUGAAGGUACGGUAACACGUACUGGAGGACCGAACCCAUAUCUGUUGCAAUAGAUCGGGAUGACUUGUGGCUAGGGGUGAAAGGCCAAUCAAACUUGGAGAUAGCUGGUUCUCCGCGAAAUCUAUUUAGGUAGAGCGUCGACCGAAUACCCCCGGGGGUAGAGCACUGGAUGGGCUAUGGGGACUCACCGUCUUACUGAUCCUAACCAAACUCCGAAUACCGGGGAGUACUAGUCGGCAGACACACGGCGGGUGCUAACGUCCGUCGUGGAGAGGGCAACAACCCUGACCACCAUCUAAGGUCCCUAAGUUAUGGCUAAGUGGGAAAGGAUGUGAGGAUCCCAAAACAACCAGGAUGUUGGCUUAGAAGCAGCCAUCAUUUAAAGAAAGCGUAACAGCUCACUGGUCUAAAUAAGGGUCUUUGCGCCGAAAAUGUACCGGGGCUCAAGCCAUACACCGAAGCUGUGGAUGCACGUAUGUGCGUGGUAGCGGAGCGUUCCGUAAGCCUGUGAAGGGACAGUCGUGAGACAUCCUGGAGGUAUCGGAAGUGAGAAUGCUGACAUGAGUAACGAUAAAGGGAGUGAGAGACUCCCUCGCCGAAAGUCCAAGGGUUCCUGCUUAAAGUUAAUCUGAGCAGGGUUAGCCGGCCCCUAAGGCGAGGCCGAAAGGCGUAGUCGAUGGGAACCACGUUAAUAUUCGUGGGCCUGCAGGUAGUGACGGAUCGCGUGUGUUGUGAGGUCUUAUUGGAUUGAUCUUGCAGCGAAGCGGUUCCAGGAAAUAGCUCCUGCAUAUAGACCGUACCCUAAACCGACACUGGUGGACUGGUA